CUUGGCACUGCCUCAGACAACGGGUGUGCUUUCCUUUCACACACAUCUGCUGCUGAGCGCUGCCAGG
ensembl:miRNA gga-mir-1592 gga-mir-1592